UACAGAGGUCUCAAGCGUUGUUCGGAUUCAUUGGGCGUAAAGGGUGCGUAGGCGGCGCGGUAAGUCGGGUGUGAAAUUUUGAGGCUUAACUUCGAAACUGCAUUCGAUACUGCCGUGCUUGAGGACUGGAGAGGAGACUGGAAUUUACGGUGUAGCGGUGAAAUGCGUAGAUAUCGUAAGGAAGACCAGUGGCGAAGGCGGGUCUCUGGACAGUUCCUGACGCUGAGGCACGAAGGUCAGGGGAGCAAACAGG
rnacentral:rRNA from 1 species